AGCUCCAAUAGCGUAUAUUAAAGUUGUUGCAGUUAAAAAGCUCGUAGUUGGAUUUCUGUGAGAGUGCCGGUGUCGGCUGAUGCUUGUACGCAGGCGCUCUUACAUCCUUCUGUUAACUGAUCUUGGCAUUUUAUUGCUGGUUCAGGGCUCAGAUAUUUUACCUUGAGAAAAUUAGAGUGUUUCAGGCAGGCUUAUGCCGGAAUACAUUAGCAUGGAAUAAUGGAACAGGACCUGUGCGUCUCUCGGGGCGCCGGUCUCCGUUAUUGGUUUCGGGGACUAAUGUAAUGAUUAAUAGGGAUAGUUGGGGGCAUUAGUAUUUAAUAGUCAGAGGUGAAAUUCUCGGAUUUGUUAAAGACUAACUUAUGCGAAAGCAUUUGCCAAGGAUGUUUUCAUUAAUCAA
rnacentral:rRNA from 1 species